GAAAAAGUUUCAGAAAAGCUACUUCGAUGUGUUAGGGCUUUGCUGCUCUUCAGAAGUUCGUUUGAUUGAGAAUAUCCUCAAUUCUCUUGAUGGUGUUAAAGAGUUCUCAGUCAUUGUCCCAACAAGAACAGUGGUGGUUCUCCAUGAUGAUCUCCUCAUUUCUCAGCUUCAAAUUGUUAAGGCCCUGAACCAAGCAAGGCUAGAAGCAAAUGUUAGAGUAAAUGGAGACACAAGCUACCAGAAGAAAUGGCCAAAUCCAUUUGCUGUGGCUAGUGGAGUAUUGCUUUUGGUGUCUUUGUUGAAGUAUGUGUAUUAUCCUCUUCAUUGGGUGGCUCUGGGAGCUGUGGCCGUUGGAAUCCCUCUAAUCUUGUUGAAAGCCAUUGCAUCCAUCAGGAAUUUUAGGUUUGAUACAAACAUUCUUGUUCUCAUUGCAGUGAU
rnacentral:misc_RNA from 1 species